AUAUGUUCACGAUGGUGAUUUA
rnacentral:siRNA from 1 species